UGUUAUGCUAAACAGUCACACUCCAACCACUUCCACCUAUUCACUGCACCUUUUAAAUUGGUUUGCUGUGAAUACAUUACAGAAAAUAUGCUCCCUGUUACAGACAAGCAGGACAGGGAGGUGGAAAACAAUACAUCUGGAACUUGACCAUACCGUGAACAAAAAAUUUGGACCUUGACAAAAAAUAAUUGACUACCCCGGCAUCAGAAGGAAAAAUAACAAGUAAGGAGAGCGGCUUUUUAAGCCGCAUUAGGGCAGCAUAUGAGAACUGGAAAGAUUCUCGCUAGGAAAAAGAAGUCUCAUUCUCACCACACUUACA